rnacentral:rRNA from 1 species
CCUACGGGAGGCUGCAGUGAGGAAUAUUGGUCAAUGGACGAGAGUCUGAACCAGCCAAGUAGCGUGAAGGAUGAAUGCCCUAUGGGUUGUAAACUUCUUUUAUAUGGGAAUAAAAUGUUCCACGUGUGGGAUUUUGUAUGUACCAUAUGAAUAAGGAUCGGCUAACUCCGUGCCAGCAGCCGCGGUAAUACGGAGGAUCCGAGCGUUAUCCGGAUUUAUUGGGGUUAAAGGGAACGUAGGUGGAUUGUUAAGUCAGUUGUGAAAGUCUGCGGCUCAACCGUAAAAUUGCAGUUGAAACUGGCAGUCUUGAGUACAGUAGAGGUGGGCGGAAUUCGUGGUGUAGCGGUGAAAUGCUUAGAUAUCACGAAGAACUCCGAUUGCGAAGGCAGUUCACUGGACUGCAACUGACACUGAGGCUCGAAAGUGUGGGUAUCAAACAGGAUUAGAUACCCCUGUAGUC